GAUGAACGCUAGCUACAGGCUUAACACAUGCAAGUCGAGGGGAAACGGCAUUGAGUGCUUGCACUCUUUGGACGUCGACCGGCGCACGGGUGAGUAACGCGUAUCCNNCCUUCCCAUUACUGUGGGAUAACCUGCCGAAAGGCAGACUAAUACCGCAUAGUCUUCGAUGACGGCAUCAGAUUUGAAGUAAAGAUUUAUCGGUAAUGGAUGGGGAUGCGUCUGAUUAGCUUGUUGGCGGGGUAACGGCCCACCAAGGCUACGAUCAGUAGGGGUUCUGAGAGGAAGGUCCCCCACAUUGGAACUGAGACACGGUCCAAACUCCUACGGGAGGCAGCAGUGAGGAAUAUUGGUCAAUGGACGGAAGUCUGAACCAGCCAAGUAGCGUGCAGGAUGACGGCCCUAUGGGUUGUAAACUGCUUUUGUAUGGGGAUAAAGUUAGGGACGUGUCCCUAUUUGCAGGUACCAUACGAAUAAGGACCGGCUAAUUCCGUGCCAGCAGCCGCGGUAAUACGGAAGGUCCAGGCGUUAUCCGGAUUUAUUGGGUUUAAAGGGAGCGUAGGCUGGAGAUUAAGUGUGUUGUGAAAUGUAGACGCUCAACGUCUGAAUUGCAGCGCAUACUGGUUUCCUUGAGUACGCACAACGUUGGCGGAAUUCGUCGUGUAGCGGUGAAAUGCUUAGAUAUGACGAAGAACUCCGAUUGCGAAGGCAGCUGACGGGAGCGCAACUGACGCUUAAGCUCGAAGGUGCGGGUAUCAAACAGG
rnacentral:rRNA from 1 species